CCCUCCACUUUCACUCCACCCUGGCCAAGCAGGGUGAUGUUGUGUUUGAAGCGGAGGGGGAGUGUGGCCGACCAUGUCCCCUCAGACUGUCAGAAGCAGGUCGUGUCCAGUGGCAGCGCUCUCUCCUCUCAGACUCCUCCUCCUGGAUGCUGGACAGCAGACUGGCCUCGGAGCUCUGCACUCGCUGGCAAAGCCACAAAGACCAGCUGCCCUGCAGGUGGCCCAGACUACCAGCGGAGACCUCGUCACCUCUAGACUUUGGUGCUAUCCCUGUCAAUGAAAGCAAGGUUAAGCUGCUGACUCUGAAGAACCCCUCCUCCUCUGUGGUCUCUGUGGAGAUCAGAGCCCUCUCCCUGUACCCGGCCCCCC